CAGCAGGGCACAGCGCCUGGGCUUCGCUUACGGCUCCAGCGAAAGAAGCGCAGCAGCUUUGGGAACCGGUGGUGCGACGGGAGCGGCGGGGGCCGCCGCGCCGUGGGGAAGCCACGGCAGGGCACGGCGGCGCGAGCGGGCAGGCAUGUCUGCUCCACGCGGGCACCGCUCAGAGAGGACGCCACGACGGGAGGAAAACUCAUGAAAGCUCAGGACCAGAAAACAUCAGAAAACAUCAGGGAGUGGAAUGAACUUUCUGGAGGACAGAAGAAGGGGGAGGUGUUUUAUUGUUAAUAACAGCUUAUGAUGACUGAUGGAAUUCUCUUUCAUCUGCUGUUUGAGAUCUCGUUCUUGGAUCUUUUCCUCAUUUUUUCCCCCUUUUAUCAUGAUCUCAGCCUCUCUCUCUUUGGAGAUCUUAAUUAUCUUACCAUGUGCUGUUUCAGUAUGAAUAAAUUAUUGGUUUAUUUAUA